CGCUGAACCAUUAUCUUUUUGUUCUAGUACCCAGUAUAUCCCUGCUUGAGGAUUUCUGGCUCACACUUAGUACUGUAGAACAAAUUGAACAUUACAUUCAUAUCACAUAUUCAUAAAUUUCAUUUGUAAACACAAACAUCAUUACUGAAUAAGGUUUCAAACCGAUUUGUAUAGUAAACCAAAUCCUCCUCUGCAGCAACUAUACUUCCAAUCAUUGUCAACUAG